AAUAUUGCACUAUGUGCGAAACCCUGAUCGAGCCAUGCCGUGUGUGUGAAAAGGCUCAUCGGAUUGGAAAGCACUUUAAGUUGGGAGGAAGGGCAGUAAGUUAGUACCUUUCUGUGUUGACGUUACCUACAGAAUAAGCACCGGCUAACCUCCUGCCAGCAUCCGCGGUAAUACGCAGGGAGUAAGCGUUAUUGGGAAUUACGUGGCGUAAAGGCGGAGUAGGUGGGUUGUUAAGUAGGAAGUGACAGCAGCGGGCUCAACCUGGGAGCUGCUUUCAAAACUGGCAAGCAAGGGUAUGGAAGCGGGUGGUGGAAUUUAAUGAGUAGCGGAGAAAAGAGUAGAUAUAGGAAGGAUCACCAGUGGCGAAGGCGACCAACUGGGCUAAUACUGACACUGAAGUGCAAAAGCGUGGGGGGCAA
rnacentral:rRNA from 1 species